GCGCCAGACUCCUACGGGAGGCAGCAGUGAGGAAUAUUGGUCAAUGGCCGAGAGGCUGAACCAGCCAAGUCGCGUGAGGGAUGACGGCCCUACGGGUUGUAAACCUCUUUUGUCGGGGAGCAAAGAGAGUCACGUGUGGCUCAUUGAGAGUACCCGAAGAAAAAGCAUCGGCUAACUCCGUGCCAGCAGCCGCGGUAAUACGGAGGAUCCGAGCGUUAUCCGGAUUUAUUGGGUUUAAAGGGAGCGUAGAUGGGUUGUUAAGUCAGUUGUGAAAGUUUGCGGCUCAACUGUAAAAUUGCAAUUGAUACUGGCAGUCUUGAGUACAGUUGAGGUAGGCGGAAUUCGUGGUGUAGCGGUGAAAUGCUUAGAUAUCACGAAGAACCCCGAUUGCGAAGGCAGCUUACUAAACUGUGACUGACAUUGGUGCUCGAAAGUGUGGGUAUCAAACAGGAUUAGAUACCCCGGUA
rnacentral:rRNA from 1 species